rnacentral:rRNA from 1 species
GAGACAGCAGCAGCCGCGGUAAUACGAAGGGGGCUAGCGUCGUUCGGAUUUACUGGGCGUAAAGCGCACGUAGGCGGACUUUUAAGUCAGGGGUGAAAUCCCGGGGCUCAACCCCGGAACUGCCUUUGAUACUGGGAGUCUUGAGUACGGAAGAGGUAUGUGGAACUCCGAGUGUAGAGGUGAAAUUCGUAGAUAUUCGGAAGAACACCAGUGGCGAAGGCGACAUACUGGUCCGUUACUGACGCUGAGGCUCGAAAGCGUGGGGAGCAAACAGGAUUAGAUACCCCCGUAGUCACUGUCUCUUAUAC